UGAUAGACUUUAGAUAUCGUAAAGCUAAAGACUAUAAACGAUUCCUUUGACUAUCAAUGUAAAGAGUUACAGCUUUGAAGUACGAUACUGGUUCACUCUCAUAGCGAGUUCACCAUUCUCGUCAGUCUCAUAGCGACUGUUAGCUCAAGACUCAUAACGUCUGUGAGUUUACAACAUACAAAGCAUAAUCCCCCAAAUGCAUAUACAAUAGCUAUUUAUAUCCUCUUUCUCUGUAACUGCAAAGACUCUCUCUGAAGUAGAAGUUUCUCCCUUCCUUGUCAUUCACUUCACUUCAGACUCCUCACCUGGCUCCACCUGUUCUUUACCUCCUUCCCUGCGAAUAUAAACCUUCUUGAACCUAUCAAUACUUCCCCCAACGAAAUCCAGCUUGCCCUCAAGCUGGUAUGAUGGAAAACAAGCGUGAAAUUCCUGAUACACCAUCCAUGAAUUCUCCAGCGAAGAACGGUUCUUCCACUUCACCAAAAGUUCCAGAUCACCCUUUGAAUUAUAACGUUUGUCCAAAAUAUCCUCUGGUUCCUCCACAACAUCCGUAACUGUAAGGCACCCUGGUGGAAGUUCCUCACACUGAACCUGUUGUCCUACCGCCAACUUCAAUUGAGACACAUGAAAAACCGCAUGAAUCCGAGCCUCAGGAGGAAGCUGAAGCUUGUAAGCGACCCGUCCGACACGUUCAAUAAUCUUGUAAGGACCGUAAAACUUAGCAGCCAACUUUUGACUGAAACGUCUAGCCACUGUUUUCUGUCUGUAAGGCUGCAGCUUCAGAUACACCAUAUCGCCCACAACAAACUCCACUUCUCGACGAGACUUAUCCGCCUGCGCCUUCAUCAAGUCCUGAGCCCGUAACAAAUUUUCUUUCAAAGCUAUCAACGCAUCAUCCCUUUCCCUUAACGCUUUGUCCAACUCGAAAUUCGUUGUAGAUCCAGGUUCGAAACGUAACAAAGGUGGAGGAUCUCUGCCAAAUAAAACUUUGAAUGGGGUUGUUUGCAGAGACUUGUGGUAUGUCGUGUUAUACCAUAACUGUGCCCACGCCAAGUACGUAUGCCAUGAUCGAGGGUGAGACGAAGAAAAACAGCGUAGAUACGUUUCCAAACACCUAUUCAAAACCUCAGAUUGACCGUCCGUUUGAGGAUGAAAAGCGGUGCUAUACUUCAAUGUUGUCCCUGAUAAACGAAAUACCUCAGUCCAAAAAGAACUCAAGAAGAUUCUGUCUCUGUCAGAUACAAUACUCUUCGGAAACCCAUGUAAUUUAACCACCUCAUUCACAAACUUCUUAGCAACAUCCAGAGCCGUAAACGGAUGUUUGAGACUGAGGAAAUGAGCAAACUUACUUAAGCGAUCAAUCACCACCAAGAUCACAUUGAAGCCAUUCGAAGUUGGUAAUCCCUCAAUGAAAUCCAUGUUAAUAUCUUCCCAUACCCUUUCCGGAAUUGGUAACGGUUGUAACAGCCCUGCUGGAGACAAGGUUGAGUGUUUGUGAGUCUGACAAACUGCACAAGAAGCCACGUAUUGCUGAAUCUGCUUAUACAUUCCCUUCCAGAAAAACGAACAUUGAACUCUUUUGACGGUUUUUAGAACUCCAGAAUGACCGCCCAUCUUACUGUCAUGAGCCUCUUGUAAAAUCAAAGGUAUAAAUCGUGAAGAUUUUGGAAUUACUAAGCGCCUCUUGGACCAUAACUUCCCAUCACUGACCUGAUACUUUUUUGAAUUCAACUCGCCUGCCUGCAGUUUCUCAAUCGUCUGUUGGAUCCUUGUAUCCUCUUUAAUCUCAUGAAACAGAUCCUCCCAUUGAAGAACUGUAGGUACUGUCAAAGCCAAACAUAGAGACGAGACUGACAUCGAUCGCGACAGUCCAUCCGCUGCUUUAUUCUCAGGACCUGGCUUGUAAAAGAUAUCAAAAUCGAAGCCAAGUAUCUUAGUCAACCACUUCUGAUACUCUAAAUUUACUUCCUUCUGCUCCAAUAAGAACUUUAAACUUCGUUGAUCUGUAUGAACAUGAAAUUUGCGACCCAGUAGAUAAUGUUUCCAUUUCCUAAUGGCCAUGACGAUAGCCAUUAAUUCACGUUCAUAUGCCGGUUUCAGUUGUUCCCUUGGUGUUAACGCAUGGCUGAAAAACGCGAUAGGUCUCUUGUUCUGCAUCAAAACUGCACCCAAACCAAACCCAGAUGCAUCCGACUCCACGACAAACACCUGAUCAAAGUCCGGCAGAGCUAGAACUGGUGCUUGAACCAUUGCCGCUUUUAGCUGAUCAAACGCCUGUUGUGUUUCCUGCGACCAUAGAAACUGUUCUUUCUUCAAUAACCACGUAAGAGGUCGAGCUAUACUGCCAUAUGCUUUGACGAAUCGUCUGUAAUACCCCGUUAAACCCAAGAACCCCCGUAGCUGUUUAACUGUUUUUGGGGUUGGCCACGCAGUCAUUGCCUCUGUUUUUACUGAAUCUGUAGCUACUCCUUCAGCAGAUAUGAUGUGUCCUAAAUACUCCACAGAACUCACUCCAAACGUGCAUUUCUUCAUAUUAGCAUACAACUUCUGUUCGCGUAACACCUGUAACACCAACCUCAAAUGUUCCUCGUGCUCUUCCUCAUUCGCGCUGUACACCAAGAUAUCAUCGAAAAAUACCAGUACAAACCGGCGAAGAAAUGGUUUGAAAACCUGAUUCAUCAGAGCCUGAAAUGUAGCUGGUGCGUUAGUCAAGCCAAACGGCAUGACAAGAAACUCAUAGUGACCUUCGACUGUUCGAAAAGCUGUCUUCGGAAUAUCAGCCUCGACCAUUCGAAUCUGGUGAUAACCCGAUCGUAGGUCUAACUUGGAGAACACUGAAGCACCAUGAAGUUCGUCUAAGAGCUGAUCGAUAACUGGAAUCGGAUAUUUAUCCAACACCGUGGCUCUGUUUAAUGCUCGAUAAUCAACACAGAAACGCAGUGAACCGUCCUUCUUCUUAACCAGUAGCACUGGACUCGAAAAAGGGCUGGUACUAGGUUGUAUGAUUCCUGUUGCGAGCAUUUCCGUCACCAUCUGUUCCAUCGCUACCUUACUUGCGUGAGGGUAACGAAAUGGACGAACAGAUACUGCCGACACUCCUUGUUUCAAUGUGAUUGCAUGUUCCUUUCCCCGAAAUGGAGGUAAAGUAGUUGGAAUGGCAAACACAUCUGAAUAUUCUUGGAGUAGCAGUGGGAAUUUUGGUGAUGAUUCUGGUUUCGAAGAUGUAGCACUAGAUGUAGCAAGAAGCGCUCCUCUUCCUGUCUUACUACAUGUAGCGACCGGCAUCAACGACUUGAAUGAGAAUUUGGUGCAGUGCAGGUCCUUCUCACCCCGCAAAGUCACCUUAUUCCCAUUGUAGACAAACGAAAGGACCUGCUCCUUCCAGUCCACUUCGCAAGUGCCUAACGUUUCAAGCCAUUGAAUGCCUAGUAUCACAUCCACGUUUCCCAGUUCUAAAGAGAUGAAGUCACUUGUGAAGUUGGUCUUGUUGAUUUGAAAUGCGACUGCUUGGCAAAUUCCCAAAGCGUUCACAGUCACACCAUUUCCCAACAACACGUCCAAGCUACUGUCUGCAUAAACUUUCAAUCGUAGCUUGGUCACAACUUCUGGUGAAAUGAAGUUGUGAGAUGCUCCGCUAUCGAGCAUGACUACCACCUCCUUGUCUUGUAUAUAUCCCCUCAUCUUAGUCGUCUUUGGGGAAUUAAUGCCCAAAUAAGAGUUGAGUGAUAAAGUACGCAGGACUUGUUGUUGUUGAUCGACAAAGAACUCCUCCUCGCUUUGUGAAUCAAUGACUUCAAGUUCCAAGCCGUUGAUUACCGUGAGAACUCUUAGUUGUCUAUUAGGGCAAAUGUCUUUAUGAGCUGGUGACCAUGGCGCCUUACAACGGAAACAAAUCUUGUCUUUACGCAUGCGGUCAAGUUCUACAUCAGAGUAUUGUAGUCUUGAACGAACUGUACUCUUCUGCGGAUUAGUGUUUUCUUUGCUUGCCGUUGUAUCCAACUUAAAAGUAUCACCACUCUGUUUUGCUGGAAAGUUCGAAUGACGAGCUGUAGAAGAGUGUCUUGACACAGUCCGAUGAGAGUCACUCCCCUGAGCUGAACCAAUCACUUUACAAAACGUUGUACUCUGCAUCUUCAACACCGCAAGUUUGUGGUCUGUCAAACUCACUGGCUCCUUCAUCCGGAUCACUUCUUUCAUUUCCGAUUUCAAACCAUUGAAGAACACCUUGAUUAGAUUCUUCUCGUCAAUUCCCGUAACUUGGUUUCUCAAAGCUUCAAACUCGUUAACAUAAUCCUCAACCUCUCCCUCCUGUUUUAAACAGAACAAUCUUGCAGCUGGAUCGUUGUCAAUUGGACCCCCAAAUCUGUCUAGCAUCCUCUGAGUAAACUGUUCCCAGUUGACAAAAGGAUCACAGAUAAUCUCCCCAUUGAACCAUUGUAGCACUGGACCUUCCAAGCUCAAGGAAACUAGCUGUAACUUCUCUUCCUCAUUGUAGUUACCAAACCUGAAAAAUCUUUCCACACGAGAGAUCCAAUCGAAUGGCAAUGGACCAGAGAACACAGGCAUUUCAAUUUUCCUCAACAUCUUAUCACGAUUCGCCAUAGUACCAUGGAUUCCCCGAUAACCUAACUGUGUGGGAGGUAGUUCCGGCUCAGAGAUAGUUAUCGGUACCUGAGGAUGCUGAUGAUCUGAUGAUGAUGCGAUUUCUUUUCCCGGACGUUGCGGAAACGCAGCUGAUUCCUCGAAUCGCGUCAAAAGAUCUGUGAUAACCGUCAUCCUCCUCUCGAGAGCUUCGAAUCGCGUCGUCGUCUCCACACCGAUCGCGUCGAUCUUCUUCUCCACCGAAUCAACCUUCGUCGACAUUGAUUCCACUCGUUCCUUUGUCGAUCGAUCGUUACGAGCCAGCGUGUCGUAGUUGAGCUUCGUCAGCUCCAUUUCAUCUUGAAUCCGUUGCAGAUCCAUCGAUCUCAGUGGCUCCGCGGUCGACGACUUCUCCCGAUCACCUCCGUUUCUUGUUUCUACCAUCGCUUCACCGUCGCGUUGCUUCCGAUCAGUUUCACCGCACCAGUGAUAGACUUUAGAUAUCGUAAAGCUAAAGAUUAUAAACGAUUCCUUUGACUAUCAAUGUAAAGAGUUACAGCUUUGAAGUACGAUACUGGUUCACUCUCAUAGCGAGUUCACCAUUCUCGUCAGUCUCAUAGCGACUGUUAGCUCAAGACUCAUAACGUCUGUGAGUUUACAACAUACAAAGCAUAAUCCCCCAAAUGCAUAUACAAUAGCUAUUUAUAUCCUCUUUCUCUGUAACUGCAAAGACUCUCUCUGAAGUAGAAGUUUCUCCCUUCCUUGUCAUUCACUUCACUUCAGACUCCUCACCUGGCUCCACCUGUUCUUUACCUCCUUCCCUGCGAAUAUAAACCUUCUUGAACCUAUCAGACU
rnacentral:lncRNA from 1 species